rnacentral:lncRNA from 1 species
GAGGGCCCUCGCAAAGUCUCGCGGCAUUCCGAGUCCGGCGGACGAAGUUGGCCAGCCCCAACCCCCAAGGCUAUAGCCCACCCUUUUUUGUGGCCUUUUUCCGCUGGACGAACUUGGCGCCCCGGCCUUCGGGCGGUUAUUUUUGGGCGCGGCUUUGUCCGCGGCCUAUUUUUGGCACACGGAGGCCCCUCGCAAAGUCUCGCGGCAUUCCGAGUCCGGCGGACGAAGUUGGCCAGCCCCACCCCCCAAGGCUAUAGCCCACCCAUUUUUGUGGCCUUUUUCCGCUGGACGAACUUGGCGCCCCGGCCUUCGGGCAGUUAUUUUUUUGCGCGGCUUUGCCCCCGGCCUACUUCAGGCACACAGAGGCCCCUCGCAAAGUCUCGCGGCAUUCCGAGUCCGGCGGCCGAAGUCGGCCGGCCCCACCCCCCAAGGCUAUAGCCCACCCGUUUUUGUGGCCUUUUUCCGCUGGACGAACUUGGCGUCCCGGCCUUCGGGCGGUUAUUUUAGGGUGCGGCUUUGCCCGUGACCUAUUUUUGGCACACGGAGGCCCCUCGCAAAGUCUCGCGGCAUUCCGAGUCCGGCGGACGAAGUUGGCCAGCCCCACCCCCCAACGCUGUAACCCACCCGUUUUUGUGGACUUUUUCCGCUGGACGAACUUGGCGCCCCGGCCUUCGGGGGGUUAUUUUUUGGCGCGGCUUUACCCGCGGCCUACUUUAGGCACACGGAGGCCCCUCGCAAAGUCUCGCGGCAUUCCGAGUCUGGCGGACGAAGUCGGCCAGCCCCACCCCCCAAGGCUAUAGCCCACCCGUUUUUGUGGCCUUUUUCCGCUGGACGAACUUUGCGCCGCGGCCUUCGGGCGGUUAUUUUUGGGCGCGGCGUUGCCCGCGGCCUAUUUUUGGCACACGGAGGCCCCUCGCAAUGUCUCGCGGCAUUCCGAGUCCGGCGGACGAAGUUGGCCAGCCCCACCCCCCAACGCUGUAACCCACCCGUUUUUGUGGACUUUUUCCGCUGGACGAACUUGGCGCCCCGGCCUUCGGGGAGUUAUUUUUGGGUGCGGCUUUGGCUGCGGCCUAUUUUUGGCACACAGAGGCCCCUCGCAAAGUCUCGCGGCAUUCCGAGUCCAGCGGACGAAGUGGGCCAGCCCCACCCCCCAAGGUUAUAGCCCACCCGUUUUUGUGGCCUUUUUCCGCUGGACGAACUUGGCGCCCAGGCCUUCGGGCGGUUAUUUUUGGCCGCGGCCUGAUUUUGGCACACGGAGGCCCAUCGGAAAGUCUCGUGGCAUCCCAAGACCGGCGGACGAAGUUGGCCAGCCCCACCCCCCAAGGCUAUAGCCCACCCGUUUUUGUGGUCUUUUUCCGCUGGACGAACUUGGCGCCCUGGCCUUCAGGCAGUUAUUUUUUGGCGCGGCUUUGCCCGCGGCCUACUUUUGGCUCACGGAGGCCCCUCGCAAAGUUUCGCGGCAUUCCGAGUCCGGCGGACGAAGUCGGCCAGCCCCACCCCCCAAGGCUAUAGCCCACCCGUUUUUGUAGCCUUUUUCCGCUGGACGAACUUGGUGCCCCGGCCUUCGGGCAGUUAUUUUUGAGCACGGCGUUGCCCGUGGCCUACCUUUGGCACACAAAUGCCCCUCGCAAAGUCUCACGGCAUUCCGAGUCCGGCGGACGAAGUCGGCCUGCCCCACCCCCCAAGGCUAUAGCCCACCCGUUUUUGUGGCCUUUUUCCGCUGGACGAACUUGGCGUCCCGGCCUUCGGGUGGUUAUUUUUAGGCCCGGCUUUGCCCGCGGCCUAUUUUUGGCACACGGAGGCCCCUCGCAAAGUCUCGCGGCAUUGCGAGUCCGGCGGACGAAGUCGGCCAGCCCCAUCCCCCAAGGCUAUAGCCCACCCGUUUUUGUGGCCUUUUUCCGCUGGACGAACUUGGUGCCCCGGCCUUCGGGCAGUUAUUUUUGGGCGCGGCUUUGCCCGCGGCCUACCUUUGGCACACAGAGGCCCCUCGCAAAGUCUCACGGCAUUCCGAGUCCGGCGGACGAAGUCGGCCUGCCCCACCCCCCAAGGCUAUAGCCCACCCAUUUUUGUAGCCUUUUUCCGCUGGACGAACUUGGCGUCCCGGCCUUCGGGCGGUUAUUUUUGGGCGCGGCUUUGUCCGUGUCCUAUUUUUGGCACACGGAGGCCCCUCGCAAAGUCUCACGGCAUUCCAAGCCCGGCAGACGAAGUUGGCCAGCCCCACCCCCCAAGGCUAUAGCUAGGGAUGGCAAAAUCCGGGUCCGGGUCCGGGUUUAACGUUUCCGGUUCCGGACCCGGAUGACAAUUUAUGCUCCCGGAUCCGGAUAUAAACCCGGAUUAUUUCACUCCGGGUCCGGUCCGGGUUCAACCCGGAAAAAUCCGGGUUUCCGGAUUGCGGGUUUCAAACCCGGUAGUUGGAUGAAGAUAGAUUUACAGAAGCAAAAAACAAUAGGAUGAAUUCAUGGGAUCACAACCAAUUUUGCUUACUUCAAUAAUAAAAUUUACAAUUAUAUGGAUAUUAUGUGCUAAGAUGCUGCGUUUGGCUAUUAACAACAAGAAAAAAAAUUAAUAAUUACCGAAGUUAAGCAAAAGCAAAAAAUUAAAAGAGAAAUACAGAGAAACGAAAGAAAAUUUCAGGUCGCAGCUAAGGCGGUGAUGGGCCAAUGAAAAAUAUGAUUGCCGGCGAGAAGGGGUUAGCAACUAGCAGCAAAGCUUGCUCUUUGGAGAGAGAUGAGACCGAAUUUGACGAUGGUGGAGCUGGGUUUUUGAUAAUAAUGGAUGAUGAAUUGAGAUGAUUUAAUUGAUGAUGUAUUGAUGAACUUGGUCGUUGGGGAUGAAGAAGACGAAGAUUGAGGUGGCAGUCGCUAGGGAUGAGGGAGAUGAGGUUUGAGGUGGCCGCUGGGGAUGAGUGAGAUGAAGAUGGAGAUGAAGAUUGAGAGAUGAACUGAUAAAGAUUGAGGGAUUGUUUUGUUUUGCUUAUGUUCCCCCCUCCCCUCAACAAGGUGGCGGCUGGUGCAAUUGUUUUGUUUUGCUUUAGGGUUUUACGGGUUUUUCUUGUUUGCUUUUAUUUUUUUUUUCUUGCCCAAUUUAUUGUUUAAUGCUUAUAUAUUUUUUAGUUAGUAAUAAAAAUUAAUAAAUAAAUAAAUGGUAGUCCGGGUCCGGGUUCCGGAGAUCCGGGUUCACCUAAACCCGGACCCGACCCGGAAUAUAUCCGGGUUUGAAAAAUUACAACCCGGAUCCGCAUUAUUAAUGCAUCCGGUGCGGGUUGAACCCGUACCGGAUAAUCCGGGUUUAUCCGGGUCCGGGCCGGGUCCGGAAAAAUUUGCCAUCCCUAGCUAUAGCCCACCCGUUUUUGUGGCCUUUUUCCGCUGGACGAACUUGGCGCCCCGGCCUUCGGGCAGUUAUUUUUUGGCGUGGCUUUGCCCGCGGCCUACCUUUGGCACACAGAGGCCCCUCGCAAAGUCUCAUGGCAUUCCGAGUCCGGCGGACGAAGUCGGCCUGCCCCACGCCCCAAGGCUAUAGCCCACCCGUUUUUGUGGCCUUUUUCCGCUGGACGAACUUGGCGUCCCGGCCUUCGGGCGGUUAUUUUUGGGCGCGGCUUUGCCCGCGGCCUAUUUUUGGCACACGGAGGCCCCUCGCAAAGUCUCGCGGCAUUCCGAGUCCGGCGGACGAAGUUGGCCAGCCCCACCCCCCAAGGCUAUAGCCCACCCGUUUUUGUGGCCUUUUUCCGCUGGACGAACUUGGCGUCCCGGCCUUCGGGCGGUUAUUUUUGGGCGCGGCUUUGCCCGCGGCCUAUUUUUGGCACACGGAGGCCCCUCGCAAAGUCUCGCGGCAUUCCGAGUCCGGCGGACGAAGUUGGCCAGCCCUACCCCCCAAGGCUAUAGCCCACCCGUUUUUGUGGCCUUUUUCCGCUGGACGAACUUGGCGCCCCGGCCUUUAGGCAGUUAUUUUUUGGCACGGCUUUGCCCGCGGCCUAAUUUAGGCCCACGAAGGCCCCUCGCAAAGUCUCGCGGCAUUCCGAGUCCGGCGGACGAAGUCGGCCAGCCCCACCCCCAAAGGCUAUAGCCCACCCGUUUUUGUGGCCUUUUUCCGCUGGACGAACUUGGCGCCCCGGCCUUCGGGCAGUUAUUUUUGGGUGCGGCAUUGCCCGUGGCCUACCUUUGGCACACAGAGGCCCCUCGCAAAGUCUCUGCCAUUCCGAGUCCGGCGGACGAAGUCGGCCUGCCCCACCCCCCAAGGCUAUAGCCCACCCGUUUUUGUGGCCUUUUUCCGCUGGACGAACUUGGCGUCCCGGCCUUCGGGCGGUUAUUUUUAGGCGCGGCUUUGCCCGCGGCCUAUUUUUGGCACACGGAGGCCCCUCGCAAAGUCUCGCGGCAUUGUGACUCCGGUGGACGAAGUCGGCCAGCCCCACCCCCCAAGGCUAUAGCCCACCCGUUUUUGUGGCCUUUUUCCGCUGGACGAACUUGGUGCCCCGGCUUUCGGGCAGUUAUUUUUGGGCGCGGCUUUGUCCACGGCCUACCUUUGGCACACAGAGGCCCCUCGCAAAGUCUCACGGCAUUCCGAGUCCGGCGGACAAAGUCGGCCUGCCCCACCCCCCAAGGCUAUAGCCCACCCGUUUUUGUGGCCUUUUUCCGCUGGACGAACUUGGCGUCCCGGCCUUCGGGCGGUUAUUUUUUGGCGCGGCUUUGCCCGCGGCCUAUUUUUGGCACACAGAGGCCCCUCGCAAACUCUCGCGGCAUUCCAAGCCCGGCGGACGAAGUUGGCCAGCCCCACCCCCCAAGGCUAUAGCCCACCCGUUUUUUGUGGCCUUUUUCCGCUGGACGAACUUGGCGCCCCGGCCUUUGGGCAGUUAUUUUUUGGUGCGGCUUUGCCCGUGGCCUACCUUUGGCACACAGAGGCCCCUCGCAAAGUCUCACGGCAUUCCGAGUCCGGCGGACGAAGUCGGCCUGCCCCACCCCCCAAGGCUAUAGCCCACCCGUUUUUGUGGCCNN